GGCGUACCGAGGCGGUACCGAGGCAGGCGGCGCGCUCUGCCCCGCUUCCGGGGGAAGGCUCUGCCCCUCGGGCUUCCCGGCCGCGGAGCUCUAUGGAAAUAAAAAGGCGGUAGCGCCGCGCUCUGCCGCCUCCGCCUGGUGGCCCGGCUGCAGCCCGGGGAAGGUCCUCACAGGGGAGGCUGUGGGGCAGUGGGCCCAGUGCGGCACUGCGGGUUUGUAGCUGCAACGCUGAUGUUUGCCAUUACGGCCUCCUUUUAGGGGAAGAGGCCUUGUUUGGGUAAAAGGAGGGCAGUGGACGAGCAUAGGGACACGGGGAACCCGGCGUCCCAGUUAUCAGCGCCCCGGCAAAGGAAGGGCUUGAGGGAAUGGGGUCAUUCCCUGCAUGCUGCCUGGCAGUGCCCUCAGACCCUAAGGGUUGGCAUGGACAGCUGUGUGGAAGUUAACAGAAGAGCUGGGAAGCGUUGUGUUUGCUGACAGGACCUCAGUCUUGGCAGGAGGAGUGAUUAAAGACUGAAUGAGGUUGGAAAAAACCACCACGAUCACCUGGUCCGACUGCCACCCCCACCGUGCCCACUAACCACGUCCUCAGUGCCACAUCUCAGUCCUUGAACACCUCCAGGGACGGUGACUCCCCCACCUCCCGGGGCAGCCCGUGCCGCUGCCUCACCGCUCUUCUGGGAAGGAAUCUUUCCUACUGUCCGUUCUGGGUCUUGGGAUGCAGCACCAAGCAGAGCCCCUGGGCUCGUUGAACCUCGCAGAAGCAAACUGUUGGACCGGCUGAUGGAGAACUUGUGGAAGUCACCCACUGGAACCGCAUGUCUGCCUGCAGCCAGGCUGCUGUCCCAUCAGCUGCUGGAAAGCUGAUUGGGUUUCUUGUCGGGCAGCUGAAAGGAAAAACUAAAGCAAUUUGUGUAUCCUGUCGGAGCGUAAAAUGAGAUUUAUAGGGUUCCUGGGUUUUUUAAUAAAAUUUAAAAUACUUCUGCAAUUGUUGAUUUAUUGGAUAGUUAAAAGAGUUGCUUAUGUUUUUAAUGAUCCAUAAAUUACCCGUUGCAUUUUUAAUGUAGUUUGGUUUUAUCUGGUUUUUUUUUUUUCGUAGCUUGAUUCUAUUAUAAGUUACUGGAAUGAGCACAAAUAAUCAUCGCAAUCAAAGCAACAAAAACAGGUUUAAAUACUUGUAAUCAGACCAUUAAUACAUGGACAGGAGCAAAAGAAACGACUGUACAGUUAUGCUGUAAAUUCUGGUCUUCUUAAGGCCUUCGUAGUACCACUUUCAUGCUGUACCUUCUUCCGUUUCUUGUGCAGUACUGCAGUGUGUCCAACCUGCUCCAUUGUUUGUAAUUUUUUCCAUGGUAUUUUGUGGAUUAACGGAAGGGAAGGGAAUCGAAGAUCAUUUUUCAUGCAAGUUUCUUCCUCUCAGCACAAAUGGGCUGAAAUACUUCUUUUGAUUAAUGUUGAAAAAAGUUCCUAAUGCAGCUCUUCAAUCUUUCAAAACACUUUCUAUAACUAGUGUUAUAUGCGAGUUCUUUCAUUUGGCAGCUUAUUAUGUGUCCUAAACACAGUGCUGUAAUACAUUAACGUGAAUAAAUAUAGGGAUGCUGGGUACUUUUCCCAAGCUUUCUCAGUACAAGCAUGAAUUGUGUAUCUGCAUUUUGGCAUUAGUCCUCUAUUUACAUACUACUUCCAAGCCCUGCAGACAUAACUUUUCUUUUUGUUUACAAGUCCACGUUAUUGAUGCUUUCUAGUUUAACAGUAUUUUUUUCCUGUUUUAGAGAUAUCGUGAGGCAAAUAAUACACAGGUGGACUUUAGAGUAAGGCAUUAAUAUUGGCCGUAUUUGUCAUUCUUCAAAAGAAGAAUGUGUAGUUCUUUGUAGCGUAGUAUGUGUAAUGUGUAGUAGAAGAAGGUGUACUUGUUUGUUUUGUGAACAUACAUACAAACACAUAUAUUUUAGUUAGAGAGAGAAAAUACUUCCCAUGCCCCAAAAUGCUGUAAAGUUUUGUUUCAAUAACUGCUGCAGGUACUUCACCUGUUUGGCCUUUUGAGGUGUUCAUUUUGUGGCUGUUCUGUGGUGUCAGCAUCCCAAGUUUUUGCUUAUUUUAACUAUUUCGGACCCUUUCCUCCUCAAAGCUGUUUGUUCUGCUGGGAUGUAAAAAAUACGACCUAUAUAAGAUCUAGGUUUUUCACUGUGCUGUCCCGUCUGAUAUGGGAAAUUCAAGGAAUUAAGUGCAGGGAAAAAGGAGGAUAAUGACAGCAUGCAAUCGUUACUUAAAAUCAGAACCAAGAAGUCCGAAAAUUAAACUGCAUAAAAAGAAAUAAACUGUUUAAAACUCUGUUUUUCCAGGGUGUGAUUUCCCUGUGUUUCUGUGUUGUCCUCUUGUCCAAACCCUAUUUAUCGUGCUGGAUAAGUAGGGUUUGGACAAGAAAUUGUCAGGUUGGGCAAUUCUUGAUGGAAGCAUCAGGUGCAUCUUCUGUGCCACGUUGUUCAGAGGUGGUUGCAGGAAGCCUUUCUAUUCAGAUUUUUUUAUAGAACCAUAGAGAACCUUUGGGAUUUCUCCACCUGUUUAACCCUCUUCCUACUUUACAGUGCUUCUGAUCACUUCAGCUAUUGCUGCAUUGCCCACGAUGUGAGUAAGUCGGAUUCUACUGACAUCUGCUUCAUUGUAAAACUCACUUAAUGCCCGGUAAAUUGACGGAGCCCAUUUACAUUUGCACUAGUGAAACCAGUUGGGCACCCAGAAAUGUGCUUCUAACACUCUUCUCUGUUUGCUUGAGUCUUCUCGUUUUAAGUCUGUGGUUUGAUUUCUACUGAGGCCUUAGUAAUUUUCCUUAUCCCUCGUACCAGCUCUCCACCAAAGCAGAAGGCACUGCUGAUGUGGUUAUAAAGACCACCUUCCUCUUCUGCUUUCUGUCCCGCCUCUUGCACCUGCCAUGUCUUCAAUGAUGAGUUUUCCAAUGCCAUCUCUGAAGCAGCAGGAGAUCUUGCACGCUCAUUUUCUUUCCUUUUCUUGCCACUCCUGGUACUUCCAUGUAAUGUAGGACAACUUCCUAAGUCAGACGGUGUUUAGGUCUGUGGGGUGCUGUGCAGCCUCUCGUCCUGUUCGUGUUCAGUUCUACCUCUCUCUAACAAUCUGUUAGUAUCUUCAUCACUUCUUCUGUACCACCUUAAAUAACUCCUCACUCUUCCUUGUGUUUUUACCCUCCAAAAAUGCACUCAUGGUUAACGUAGUUGCCUUUAUCCAACCUGCACUUUUCUUUAUUAAUUUCUCACUUCUCAUCUUAGUAGCAUCUUUAGUAGCUUAGUGAUAGUAAUGGUGAUAGGAGGACGGUUGGACUAGAUGAUCUUGUAGGCUCUUUCCAACUGUGUGAUUCUGUGAUUCUAUGAUCUUUCCUCAUUACAUUUAGCCAUGUCAGCUGGCAAAGUGCUGUCUUGCUCUUAAUCUGAGCUCACUGCAGCAUGCUGGAAUUGUCUACACAGAGCCAAGGAACCUCCGGGGAGAGCCUGGCUGCUGAUGCCCAUGUUGCCAUUUGGAAUAUAUUCUAGAACAUUUUUGUACGUGCAACUCCAAAUCGUGCUGAUAAUUUCAAGCCCAAGUGCCUGCAAAGCACUGUAUCAGUAACAAGGUCAUGGUAAAGAGGCUACAGAAGAACUCAAAACACACGUGUAAUACUUUGUCUAUUCUAUUUAUUUCAGCCCCCUUUUAGGGAUGUGACUUGCUAUCUCUACCACUCCCCUCUCUCUACUCUUGCUGCAGUUCUUGUUUGUGCUUGUGAUUACGUUCCCCAGGGCAGGAGCCUGACCCUUGCAUUUGUAAAACAUGCAGCGUAUGAUGUGCCUGGCCAGAAAUAGCUCGAAGGCAGCACCAGGGGCUGGUACAAGUCUUGCCCUUUGCGUGGCCCCUGUGCUGUGAGACGACUCGGUGCCUUGCCAUCACCUCUGUUCCUCCCCACACGCCUUUUUCUCUCUGGGCCAUUCCUUUGACUUUUAUCCAAGGAUAAAGGCCUUUGAGCUGGAUGACUCACAGCUUGGCACUUCCUUUGACUCACGCUUUGCCACCUAGGACAUCGGUCAGCUCUUACGAAACUGCUAUAUUUUAUUUUCUUUUAUUGCUGAUGAUGACACUCACACAACUCAUCUCUCUGAUUUCACUAUCACUUCUCCUGGAUCAGAGCUGUACUUUUUCAUGCCGUUUUUUUGGUGGCUCCCAUCUCCCUCCCUGUGGGUUUAUUUGGUAGCCUCUCUGCUCUACCCAUCCCCUGCAAACUGCAGAGCCUCGGGGGUCUCUCCUCCCUGCAGCCCUGCUGUAGGGGCUGCAUUUCCAAGGAAAGAGGCAGCCUGGCCCUUUGCCACCCUGUGCAGCAACACUGCCCCUUCAGCAGUUGUCUGGCUCAGAGCAGCUCCUGGUGACACUGGUGGGAUGAUGGUGCAAUUGGUGGCAUUUCACAGGUGCAGGUGAUUAGAUCUUGGCAAACACUUCAGCUGGUGCAAAACAAAGAAUCCAGGUCACUUCCCAGUAACUGUGCUGUCUGUGCAGGGCAGGGCUGACAUGGCUGGAAGUUGCUAAUGCCUCAUUCCUGGCACUGCCACUUGCAGAAAUGAUUGAUUGCAGCCAGGAAGCCGCUCUGGGAAUAUUGUGCUUGUCUAUUGUCACAGAAGGAUUUGUCGGAGAAGUGGUGCAGUGCCAUCCUUCACAUAUUCACGUAUUGGUGUCUCGUUAACGGUACCAGCGGGCUCCCUUCCUGCACAGACCCUGCACUUGCACCCCCACUCCCUGGUGCUGGCCCACCAGCCCACCUUUCUGCUUACAGGAGGGGCACUAUCCACUUCUGAUGGGUUUCCAGAUUUAAGCAGAAAUGAGUUUGCCCUGACAUUAUAAAUCAGGAAAACAACCAAUAGCACUGAUGUGAAGCAGACACCAGAUCCCUCCUGGAGAGUUGCAUCUCAUAUUACUAAAGGACUCAAGCAGCUCUCAGCAGCUGGUGCUGUUUUUCAGGGGAGUGAAUAGGAGCAGACUGCAGCAAGGGCAAAGCACAGUCCAGCCAUGCACAUGGGCUACACCUAUUCCUGAGCUGUUUGUUGGCUGCUCGAAUUUCCUAGACAGCAGCAGGAGAGGUGGCUCAAGCAAUGCGCUGCUCUUCAAUGCAACUUCUACCUGGGGAUGAGGUAGAUGGAGAUGGUAGAUGGAGAAGAGUGAUUCUUCUGGAAAGAGCCCUUUGUUCUCUCCCUGACCCAUUCUCAGCAUUGCUGUGCUUGAACAUCAGUCCCAGAACCGAUGCUUCCCAAACCCAGUCAUGCGAGUUGAAUGGCCCCACUGGAAAUUAUUGCUUUGACUGGCACCUACAUCAUUCCAUAUAGCUGCUUUUAUGAGAUAUGAAAAAUGCAUUAUGAAAAACGCAUGGAACAAACGCAUCUAACAAGUGGGCAGGACUUGCUUUAUAAUUAUGCAUAGCUCUCCAGUUACAUAAGUGCUUUUCCUGGGGAAUCACCAUGACGGAAGCAAGCCUUGCUAUCAUGUUUGGACUGGUUGAGGCACUGAUUCAUGACAGUCUAUUUCCUGCCUUGUUCCACAGCAAAUGCCUAUAAUUUCAAUAGCAAUUAAUGAUGAUGAGAGAUUGAUGCAUGAUAAAGCUGGGUCUUCUGUGCAAGGAUUCUGGCUGAUGGGAAUGAUUCACCCACGUGUCAAAGCUCGCAGUGUUACUAGAACAUCACUGCCUUGUUUGCAAACUAUUUCUCUUCCAUGCAGGUGCAUUUCUAUCUGCCCUGAUAACAGAUAUAAACAUAUGAGCCAUGAUUUAACUAUUUUGUUCCUCUUUCAUCCAAACUCCCCAUAUUUUUCUGUUUAUGCCACUCUCAUUCCAUUCUGCAGUGUAAUUCUCCUCUAACAAUGCCACCAACAUUCUCUGCUCCUACCUCAGCUUAUGACACACAUAAAGUUUAUCAAAACUUGAGCCUAGAGAGCAGCACAACUCUGUUGCUGUGAUGCUUGGAUUUGUGCUGUGCUUCCAGCUGAAGUAGCCGUAACAUUUCUGGUACACAUGACAGCUUGUUUAGCCCAUUCAGUUUGCUCUGGGUAGGCCUCAUUGUGUUGAAUGAACUGCUGAGACAGAGAUGGCAGCAAAAGGAGCAGUGCCACAAAGAGAGGAGCAAUGUCACAAAGAGGAGCAGUGCAACAAGAGGGGAGCACGUUGGGCAGAGACCUCAAUUCAUUUCAUUCACACAGAAGCUGGGGAAGAAAUGCCAAAUCUGAUGUCUUAAAGCACAGUAUGAGCCCCAGAGGAAAGGCACUGUAUCAAUGCAAGAUAUUAUCAGUGUUAUUAGUGGCAUUACAAUGGCUGUAAGUAUAAUACCUUAUUUCAGUGCUGAAGGAAGAAGCAAAUACAGGUGAAAGGAGGGAACGAAAGCCAUGGGUUCACUUCAAGCAGAAAGUAUCAAAACUGGGAAUCUGGUGUGAAUACAGUGAUCUCAAAACAAAAGGUACAUUCUUUGCUUUUAAGACCCCUUUUGUGGGUCUUUUGCUUUGUGGUUUUUUGGUGUUGGUUGUUGGGUUGGUUUUUUUUUGUUUUGUUUUUUUGAUGGAUUAGGCAAGUGCUUUCUGCACAGGUAAAACAGAUAUCUGGGCUGAGAUCUGUCAUUAAUGAGUAAUUUGUGAAGAGAUUCAUUUGCGAAGGGUUCAGAUGAGCAAACAUUUUUCAUGUUGGUUCAUAUUCCUAGUGAAAGUGCCAAGCCUUCAUGUGGCUCCUGUGAUGGGAAAGGAGGCACUGAGUUUGAGCUCAGCUGGCUGCACUGCUUCUUCCUGCAUGUAUCAGAGUUGGACUCAUUUACUAAAUAGCUUUCCCAGGCUUACGUAACUUUGACCUUACAGGUGAAGAGUUUGGUCCUGCCCUGGGAACUGCAAAGAGAAUGGUAUUUGUUGACAGAGGCAGAUAACACCUCCCCAUUCAGUGAGUCGGCACGUCAACGGCAAUGGUUGGACAGGAAUUGGCAGGAAAUUCAGGCUUAGUCCUUGAACUCGUCAUUUUUGGCAGAGAUGGGAAAGAAUGAAACAAAAAGAGACACAGAGGGAACCUGGAUUCCCUCCCAGAGAGAAAGUUUGCUGAAUUGCUUGGUCACGGGCUAGCUUGUUUCAUUCACAGAAAGCAUCGGGGAGGUCUCAUGGGAGACCGCAGCGUGAAUCCCACUGACCCUGGGAACAGCCAUCACGUAAUCCUUCCCUAGAAUACUUCAGGACGGUGUAGUUCAUCUCUGUAAGGCCCUCGUGUGGCUUAACAGCGUUCAGACUUCCCCACAAGCUUCACUGAACCUUCUCUAAGAGGUUUUAUUGUAUCCUCUAAGAGGAUAAAUGAAAACCAAACCCGUAUGAUGAGCAUUCAAAACGUUAGUUAAUUUUAGACCAAAAUGAUUUUUUAGCACUGAGUUUAAAUUUUCAUUAGUUCAAAGAACGGCGAUUUAUUUGGUUCAUGUUUUCCAGAUGUGCGUGGUUGCAAAUCAAUAACCAGUCCCCUGCAAUAAAUUCUUGUGUUAAACACUUUAUAGCCAGGCUAAAGGGUACAUAAAUAAGAGGAGAGCAAACUGAUAGACUGCUAGAGAACCAGUAUUCCUGCCUUUCCUUAGAAAAGUUCAUGUACGUAUCAGCUGGCACGUAUUACAUUUGCUUACAGGGUUUUCUUCCCUCCUCCUCCUCACCGUGGAUUUGCAGUUGGCACUUGCAGAAAUCUGGAGCCAGUGUGCCUCCGUGUAACAACUCUGAGCUGCACAGAGGGGAAGGACAUUCGUGAAAGCAGCGCUGGGAAAAUUUGCCUGCUGCCUUUGCCCUCACCAGGGAUCUGUGUGGGGAGUUCAGGAUGUUAUGAGAACAGAGCCGAGCUGAAGGCCUCGCCAGCUGCAGAGAAGUGCAGCCGUGCCCGAGUGCGGCUCGGAUUUGUGCGGUGCCACCCACGACACACCCAGGAGGUUCCCACUUCUUGGAAAUGUUGUGGCACCGUGUCGUAAGGUCGAAAACCUCUCCCGGCUUUUGUAUUUUCAACUAAGAAUAAAAUAAGGUGAACCACACCUUUACUGACAACACCCAGAAAAGCUCCCAAGAAAACCCGCUGUUGGUCCCACGUGGCUCCCUUUGCACCUCAGAAGUUUUCAGCAGCCAGCCCAAUGCCUCACCUCCCUCUGUAGCACCCUUCAUGCAUUAUUAACUCUCGUCCUUUUCAAAACAUCACUGUGCACAUUCACUGCAUGUAAAUGCAGAGUUAGAUUCUUAUUUAUUUCGCGCAGUGCCACAGAGUAAAAGAGCUUUUAAAGUACAAGUAUAUGAAAUAUGAUUUUUCGGAGAACUGUUCAGUUUGUUUAUAAAUCCAGACCGAACACAGAGCUUUUUACAGUGUAGAUCAUAUAUCACAGGCAUUAUUUGCUGUUUGACCUCAUCGUUUAUUUACUCAUGUGGCACAAUAAGAGCCACGCGAAGAUCUGUCUUUUCUGUGGUUCUGCUUCUCGGGGCUUCUAAAGCUUUAUGUUUGUUUUAUGCUUUGAUUUUAACUCACGUUCCAGAAGUCACACGUCUGAGGAAGAAACUGUUCUCCUUAGGUUUUGUUUCUGUUCUCUGUUCUCUCAUUAUUUAUUUUAAAGCUAAUCCCCAGCCUUCACCAUUAAAUAGAACCUUGGGAAUGUAAAGACACAAAACCUCACAGCAAAUCUGUACCCAAUACAUCGCUUUUUGAAAAAGGAAUCCAAUGACUUCUGUGUUAAUCUCCUGGUUUGUAAUUUGCUAGUGUAUGCCAGGCACAUGCUAUGCUUUGCCUUAUGAAAGCCAUGCUGCUGUGUGAGCAAUCGAAGAAACAAGCAUCACAGCUAGAACCUGGGGGGAGGAGGUGGAUUGCUUUCCAUGAAGUCUGUGAGGUUGUUUUAACUGUGGAAAAGGGAAAGGAGGAGGCAAAAGUUAAGAAAUGGGAAUGUUGGAGAGAGGGGGGUUUGGAACCAACCUCUUUUCCUUUGCUUCAGACAAGGACCCUCCCUCAGGGCCCCACAGGCUUUGUGCAGAGGAUGCCCAGUGCCCAGCAGCAGGGAUGUGCUGAGAGGGACAGGGCAGGGCUGUCCCACCCCAGCCCCAAGGAAGGUGCUGUCACUGUGUGAGCUUCACGUAGCACACCCAGGGAACGUUCAGAUCCUCUGACAACAUCGGAAACAGCAGUAGUGCUUUGUUAUUGGAAAGAAGCAAGUGAACAAUAACAUUCAAGCUGUAAAUUAAAAGCCCACUGCAAAUGGGCUCUUAAAAGUAUUAGCAUGCAUAUUAUAAGUUAUUAAAAACAAGGCGGAAUGCUAGGCAAGAACACUCGGGUUGAAGGAGAAUUCACCACUCAGUUACACAAGAACAAUCUUGUAAAUAAGCCCACCAUGAUUUCCAUGAGUGACGUUGCAGUCAUGCUGUAUAUAUAAGCAGCUUAACCAUAAUGCUGAAAGCUGAAACAACAGCAUGCCAUUUACAACAACAAGAUGAAAACCGAAUGGAAAACAAAACAAACUUGCCUGUCUGUUCUCAGCCGUGCCCUGGAAAUGAGGUUAUGCUCUCAAAAAAUGCUGAUAAUUGCUCAGGUCUUUGUAGGACUGGGACCCUCUUUGAGUAACAUCACCAAUUGCUUUAAAAUAUUUAUCUGAGAAGCCUUCUCUGACAGAGCUCAAGCUUAAAAUGUUGUUUACAGUAACAGUUGUUCGUGCUAUUUUAUUGAUGAAUUUCUUCCCCUUUGAGUAUACACCAUGGCCUCUAUCUUUCCUCCAUUGAUUCAUUGUUUGCAAGCAUUCUACUGAUGAUUCAGACACUAGCUUCUUGUUUCAUCUGAUGUUUAGAAAUCCCUUGCUUCUUGUCGCUUGCAAUUCAUAGUUAAGCUGUAAAAUAAUUACAUCACUGUGCUUGCUCCUAACUGGAAAACUCAGCAUUUUGAAAACAGGUGUAAUCAACAGCGAUGCUCUUUUGAUUAAAACAAAUGCGUUCUUCAGAAAUAUUUUGCCUGCUAUCCCAAAGUCGUCUGACUGGUCAAAUAAAAAGAUGACUCACACGAGGAAAAAAUAUCUGUCUUGUUUGCCCAAAUGCCAGCCAAUCUUUUAAUAGUCUUCAGAUCAGUUUACUCAUGUGAAAUUGAUAUUCCAAGGUGCUCUGGUACCUAUCAGAGCAAAUCAGUUGCUGACCAAGAUGCAGUCAGUGAAGC
ensembl:lncRNA